GAGCCGAAGCUGGACGCUUAACCGACUGAGCCACCCAGACUGAAAGCUUCUCGAAGAAAGAACUGGCUUUGGACUUCUCAGGAGGCUAUGCUCCCUCCUGGAAAGGGCACAGACUUAGAGUUCAACCUGGGUUCAACUCCUGGCUUUGACCCAUUACCAGCCCUGUGACCUUGGGAAGAAAGAGCCAAGCUGGAAAGCAGUCUGUGAGACCAUGAAGGAUGGAAUUCAUUUUCAUCAACAGAAACAGAGUAAAAUGAAAGAAUUUAAAAGGUGGACAUGGGAGCUGGUGAUCUUGACCUCCUUGGCCCCAAACUUUGA